rnacentral:lncRNA from 1 species
UGGUUAUUCUAGUUUUACAUUCUUCUAAAUUUUUUUCAAAGUUUUCAACUUCUUUGCCUUUGGUUUGAAUGUCCUUCCGUAGCUCAGAGUAAUUUGAUUGUCUGAAGCCUUCUUCUCUCAGCUCAUCAAAGUCAUUCUCCAUCCAGCUUUGUUCCGUUGCUGGUGAGGAACUACAUUCCUUUGGAGGAGGAGAGGCGCUCUGCGUUUUAGAGUUUCCAGUUUUUCUGUUCUGUUUUUUCCCAAUCUUUGUGGUUUUAUCUACUUUUGGUCUUUGAUGAUGGUGAUGUACAGAUGGGUUUUUGGUGUGGAUGUCCUUUCUGUUUGUUAGUUUUCCUUCUAACAGAGAGGACCCUCAGCUGCAGGUCUUUUGGAGUACCCUGCAGUGUGAGGUGUCAGUGUGCCCCUGCUGGGGGGUGCCUCCCAGUUAGGCUGCUCGGGGGUCAGGGGUCAGGGACCCACCUGAGGAGGCAGUCUGCCCGUUCUCAGAUCUCCAGCUGCAUGCUGGGAGAACCACUGCUCUCUUCAAAGCUGUCAGACAGGGACAUUGAAGUCUGCAGAGGUUACUGCUGUGUUUUUGUUUGUCUGUGCCCUGCCCCCAGAGGUGGAGCCUACAGAGGCAGGCAGGCCUCCUUGAGCUGUGGUGGGCUCCACCCAGUUGGAGCUUCCAGGCUGCUUUGUUUACCGAAUCAAGCCUGGGCAAUGGCGGGCGCCCCUCCCCCAGCCUCGCUGCCGCCUUGCAGUUUGAUCUCAGACUGCUGUGCUAGCAAUCAGCGAGACUCCGUGGGCGUAGGACCCUCCGAGCCAGGUGCAGGACAUAAUCUCGUGAUGAGCCUUUUUUAAGCCUGUCGGAAAAGCGCAGUAUUCAGGUGGGAGUGACCCGAUUUUCCAGGUGCCGUCCGACACCCCUUUCUUUGACUAGGAAAGGGAACUCCCUUACCCCUUGGGCUUCCUGAGUGAGGCAAUGCCUCGCCCUGCUUCGGCUCGCGCACGGGGUGCGCACCCACUGACCUGCACCCGCUGUCUGGCACUCCCUGGUGAGAUGAACCCGGUACCUCAGAUGGAAAUGCUGAAAUCACCCGUCUUCUUCGUCGCUCACGCUGGGAGCUGCAGACAGGAGCUGUUCCUAUGUGGCCAUCUUGGCUCCUCCCUAUGAACUCUUUUUUACAGGUGAGGGGACAGAGGCCUGGAGGAAUGCAAUGCCUUUUUUGCAAUCAUUCAUGUUUUGGGAACUUUCUUCUUUAUCAAACUUUAGUGCUAAAUCAUGGUUUCUGGUAGUGUAGGAAGACAUUAUGCAGUUUUGAAAAAUAAAGCCAGCUGAGAGUGAGGCUGAUGCCGAGUCAUGGGAGAGUAUGUCUGAGCAAUUCCAGCAUUUUUGUUUCACUUAUCAUGGGCCAUCUUUU